GAUGAACGCUGGCGGCGUGCCUAAUACAUGCAAGUCGAGCGAACAGACGAGGAGCUUGCUCCUUUGACGUUAGCGGCGGACGGGUGAGUAACACGUGGGUAACCUACCUAUAAGACUGGGAUAACUUCGGGAAACCGGAGCUAAUACCGGAUAAUAUUUCGAACCGCAUGGUUCGAUAGUGAAAGAUGGCUUUGCUAUCACUUAUAGAUGGACCUGCGCCGUAUUAGCUAGUUGGUAAGGUAACGGCUUACCAAGGCAACGAUACGUAGCCGACCUGAGAGGGGGGUCGGGCCACCUGGGAAUGGAACCAGGGCCCAGAUCCCUAGGGGGGGCAGAAGUGGGGAAUUUUCCGAAAUGGGGGAAAGCCUGACGGAGAAACCCCGGGGGGGUGAGGAAGGGUUUCGGAUCGUAAAACUCUGUUAUUAGGGAAAAACAAACGUGUAAGUAACUGUGCAGGUCUGGACGGUACCUAAUCAGAAAGCCCCGGCUAACUACGU
rnacentral:rRNA from 1 species